GCCCUUAGAGUUUUCUCAUGGCUCANAUUGAACGCUGGCGGCAGGCCUAACACAUGCAAGUCGAGCGGCAGCACAAGUGAGUUUACUCAUGAGGUGGCGAGCGGCGGACGGGUGAGUAAUGCCUAGGGAUCUGCCCAGUCGAGGGGGAUAACAGUUGGAAACGACUGCUAAUACCGCAUACGCCCUACGGGGGAAAGAGGGGGACUUUCGGGCCUCUCGCGAUUGGAUGAACCUAGGUGGGAUUAGCUAGUUGGUGAGGUAAUGGCUCACCAAGGCGACNAUCCCUAGCUGUUCUGAGAGGAUGAUCAGCCACACUGGGACUGAGACACGGCCCAGACUCCUACGGGAGGCAGCAGUGGGGAAUAUUGCACAAUGGGGGAAACCCUGAUGCAGCCAUGCCGCGUGUGUGAAGAAGGCCUUCGGGUUGUAAAGCACUUUCAGUAGGGAGGAAAGGUUGUAAGUUAAUACCUUGCAGCUGUGACGUUACCUACAGAAGAAGGACCGGCUAACUCCGUGCCAGCAGCCGCGGUAAUACGGAGGGUCCAAGCGU
rnacentral:rRNA from 1 species